rnacentral:tRNA from 1 species
GCCCCUCUAGCUGAGAUGGAUUAGCGCUAGCCUGAAAAGCUUGAGAGGUCGGUUCGAUACCGGCGGGGGGCAC